AAAUAAUGUUUAGGAAAAGGUGCGCAAUCGCUUGAAUGGAUUGCGUGAAAAGGGAAGUACGGUAAUAAUCCGUCACGGUACCCGCCACUGUAAUGGUGAGUAUCAUUGCCUAUUGUCACUAACAUUUGUUGGGAAGACGCAAUGAUAUGAUGAUCCAAAGUCAGGAGACCUGCCUUGACCUAGACACUUCU
rnacentral:ncRNA from 2 species